rnacentral:rRNA from 1 species
CAACCUGCCGAUGACUCGGGGAUAGCCUUUCGAAAGAAAGAUUAAUACCCGAUGGCAUAGUUCUACCGCAUGGUAGAACUAUUAAAGAAUUUCGGUCAUCGAUGGGGAUGCGUCCCAUUAGGUUGUUGGCGGGGUAACGGCCCACCAAGCCUUCGAUGGAUAGGGGUUCUGAGAGGAAGGUCCCCCACAUUGGAACUGAGACACGGUCCAAACUCCUACGGGAGGCAGCAGUGAGGAAUAUUGGUCAAUGGACGAGAGUCUGAACCAGCCAAGUAGCGUGAAGGAUGACUGCCCUAUGGGUUGUAAACUUCUUUUAUACGGGAAUAAAGUGAGGCACGUGUGCCUUUUUGUAUGUACCGUAUGAAUAAGGAUCGGCUAACUCCGUGCCAGCAGCCGCGGUAAUACGGAGGAUCCGAGCGUUAUCCGGAUUUAUUGGGUUUAAAGGGAGCGUAGGCGGACACUUAAGUCAGUUGUGAAAGUUUGCGGCUCAACCGUAAAAUUGCAGUUGAUACUGGGUGUCUUGAGUACAGUAGAGGCAGGCGGAAUUCGUGGUGUAGCGGUGAAAUGCUUAGAUAUCACGAAGAACUCCGAUUG